CCACAACUACAACCGCACAUAUUAAGUAUUAAGUUCAUAUUAAUUUAUGACCCUUAAGUUGGCGAGUCUAAGUAAAGAA
rfam:Vagococcus fluvialis bH819 genome assembly, contig: Scaffold2